rnacentral:rRNA from 1 species
GAGUGAGUGGCGGACGGGUGAGUAACACGUGGGUAACCUGCCCUAAAGUGGGGGAUAACAUUUGGAAACAGAUGCUAAUACCGCAUAAAACCUAACACCGCAUGGUGUAGGGUUGAAAGAUGGUUUCGGCUAUCACUUUAGGAUGGACCCGCGGUGCAUUAGUUAGUUGGUGAGGUAAAGGCUCACCAAGACCGUGAUGCAUAGCCGACCUGAGAGGGUAAUCGGCCACACUGGGACUGAGACACGGCCCAGACUCCUACGGGAGGCAGCAGUAGGGAAUCUUCCACAAUGGACGAAAGUCUGAUGGAGCAACGCCGCGUGAGUGAAGAAGGUUUUCGGAUCGUAAAACUCUGUUGUUGGAGAAGAAUGUAUCUGAUAGUAACUGAUCAGGUAGUGACGGUAUCCAACCAGAAAGCCACGGCUAACUACGUGCCAGCAGCCGCGGUAAUACGUAGGUGGCAAGCGUUGUCCGGAUUUAUUGGGCGUAAAGCGAGCGCAGGCGGUUUCUUAAGUCUGAUGUGAAAGCCUUCGGCUCAACCGAAGAAGUGCAUCGGAAACUGGGAAACUUGAGUGCAGAAGAGGACAGUGGAACUCCAUGUGUAGCGGUGAAAUGCGUAGAUAUAUGGAAGAACACCAGUGGCGAAGGCGGCUGUCUGGUCUGUAACUGACGCUGAGGCUCGAAAGCAUGGGUAGCAAACAGGAUUAGAUACCCUGGUAGUCCAUGCCGUAAACGAUGAGUGCUAGGUGUUGGAGGGUUUCCGCCCUUCAGUGCCGCAGCUAACGCAUUAAGCACUCCGCCUGGGGAGUACGACCGCAAGGUUGAAACUCAAAGGAAUUGACGGGGGCCCGCACAAGCGGUGGAGCAUGUGGUUUAAUUCGAAGCAACGCGAAGAACCUUACCAGGUCUUGACAUCCUUUGACCCUCUAGAGAUAGAGCUUUCCCUUCGGGGACAAAGUGACAGGUGGUGCAGGUUGUCGUCAGCUCCGGUCCUGGGAUGUUGGGUUAAGUCCCGCAACGACCGCACCCUUAUUACUAUUGCCAGCAUUAGUUGGGCCUCUUGUGG